CCUACGGGUGGCAGCAGUGGGGAAUAUUGGGCAAUGGGCGCAAGCCUGACCCAGCCACGCCGCGUGAAGGAAGAAGGCCCUCGGGUUGUAAACUUCUUUUAUUCGGGACGAAACAAAUGACGGUACCAAAUGACUGAGCCACGGAUAACUACGGGGCAGCAGCCGCGGUAAUACGGAGGUGGCAGGCGUUAUCCGGAUUUACUGGGUGUACAGGGCGUGUAGGCGGGAGAGCAAGUCAGACGUGAAAUUACAGGGCUCAACCCUGGAACUGCGUUUGAAACUGUUCUUCUUGAGUGAAGGAGAGGCAGGCGGAAUUCAUUGUGUAGCGGUGAAAUGCGUAGAUAUAAGGAAGAACACCAGUGGCGAAGGCGGCCUGCUGGACAUUAACUGACGCUGAGGCGCGAAAGCGUGGGGAGCAAACAGGAUUAGAUACCCUGGUAGUC
rnacentral:rRNA from 1 species